UGCAGUCGAACGGCAGCGCGGGCUUCGGCCUGGCGGCGAGUGGCGGACGGGUGAGUAAUGCUUGGGAAUCUGCCCAGUAGUGGGGGACAACACGGCGAAAGCCGUGCUAAUACCGCAUACGUCCUACGGGAGAAAGCGGGGGAUCUUCGGACCUCGCGCUAUUGGAUGAGCCCAAGUCGGAUUAGCUAGUUGGUAGGGUAACGGCCUACCAAGGCGACGAUCCGUAGCUGGUCUGAGAGGAUGGUCAGCCACACUGGGACUGAGACACUGCCCAGACUCCUACGGGAGGCUGCAGUCGAGGAUCAUUCACAAUGCGCGAAAGCGUGAUGGUGCGACGCCGCGUGCAGGAUGAAGGCCUUCGGGUCGUAAACUGCUGUCAGGAGGGAGCAACGGGCGGGAUAUUAAUACUAUCUCGCAGUGAUAGUACCUCCAGAGGAAGCCACGGCUAACUCUGUGCCAGCAGCCGCGGUAAUACAGAGGCGGCGAGCGUUGUUCGGAUUUACUGGGCGUAAAGGGUGCGUAGGCGGUUCCGCAUGUCGGAUGUGAAAUCUCACUGCUCAACGGUGGAAUGGCAUUCGAAACUGCGGGGCUGGAGUACAGGAGAGGAGAGCGGAAUUCCUGGUGUAGCGGUGAAAUGCGUAGAUAUCAGGAGGAACACCGGUGGCGAAGGCGGCUCUCUGGACUGAUACUGACGCUGAGGCACGAAAGCUGGGGGAGCAAACAGGAUUAGAUACCCUGGUAGUCCCAGCCCUAAACGGUGUACACUUGGUGUGAGGAGGAUUGUCCCUCUUCGCGCCGGAGCUAACGCGUUAAGUGUACCGCCUGGGGGAGUACGGCCGCAAGGCUAAAACUCAAAAGGAAUUGACGGGGGGCCCGCACAAGCCGGUGGAGCAUGUGGCUUAAUUUCGAUGCAACGCCGAAGAACCUUUACCUGGGGCUUUGACAUGGCACUUGCAUGCGAACCCGAAAAGGGAC
rnacentral:rRNA from 1 species